rnacentral:rRNA from 1 species
UGCAAGUCGAACGAGAAAGGGGAGCAAUCCCUGAAGUAAAGUGGCGCACGGGUGAGUAACACGUGACUAACCUACCCUGGAGUGGGGGAUAACUGAGGGAAACCUUAGCUAAUACCGCAUAAUACCCACGGGUCAAAGGAGCAAUUCGCUCCAGGAGGGGGUCGCGGCCGAUUAGUUAGUUGGCGGGGUAACGGCCCACCAAGACGAUGAUCGGUAUCCGGCCUGAGAGGGCGCACGGACACACUGGAACUGAAACACGGUCCAGACUCCUACGGGAGGCAGCAGUGGGGAAUUUUGCGCAAUGGGGGAAACCCUGACGCAGCAACGCCGCGUGGAGGAUGAAGUCCUUCGGGACGUAAACUCCUUUCGAUCGGGACGAUUAUGACGGUACCGGAAGAAGAAGCCCCGGCUAACUUCGUGCCAGCAGCCGCGGUAAUACGAGGGGGGCGAGCGUUGUUCGGAAUUAUUGGGCGUAAAGGGUGCGUAGGCGGUUUGGUAAGUCUUGUGUGAAAUCUACAGGCUCAACUUGUAGUCUGCACGAGAAACUGCCGGGCUUGAGUGUGGGAGAGGUGAGUGGAAUUUCCGGUGUAGCGGUGAAAUGCGUAGAUAUCGGAAGGAACACCUGUGGCGAAAGCGGCUCACUGGACCACAACUGACGCUGAUGCACGAAAGCUAGGGGAGCAAACAGGAUUAGAUACCCUGGUAGUCCUAGCCCUAAACGAUGACUGCUUGGUGUGACGGGUACCCAAUCCCGCCGUGCCGUAGCUAACGCGUUAAGCAGUCCGCCUGGGGAGUACGGUCGCAAGGCUGAAACUCAAAGGAAUUGACGGGGGCCCGCACAAGCGGUGGAGCAUGUGGUUUAAUUCGACGC